CAGCCAUUUCUGGAGACAAAUGGAGUUUCCCAGCAUGUGUGGCUCCUACAGGUCCCUGGAGGCCAGCUGGGCAGAAAACGUGGGAGAAGCCAUGGAGAACCCACUGCUGGGCUGGCUGGCUGCCAACAUUCACUGCAGAAACAACAUGAUGUUUUCUGCCUAAUUAGCAGUGAUAUAAAGAGUGACUGAGAGAAAUGUGAGGGUCUCAGUGUCUGAGAAGGGGUCCCCCACUUGAAUUGGACAGACCCCACUUUGCUCCUUAAAUUCACAUGCUUAUGUCAGGAAAGCUUAUUAACGAAUACAUUCAGCACAGCUUGCAGGAAGCAACAAGUUUCAUGUAGAGUACCACGGCGUCAUUAUGCAAGUGUCUGUCUGAGCAUGGCCAGUAAGAGAACUGGUGGUUUUGGUCCAUGAAAGAGCUGGGGUUCCUGGAAGUUUUUGGAAUGCCUGGCCAUGACAUUGGUUGGAGUCUGACUGGGCCCCAUGCAGAAAAUGCCACACUCUGCUGAGCUGACAUCUUUGUGUUCUGCUAGGAGGCCCAGGAAUUCAUAAAAGAAAAGACCUAAGGCACUUGAAAACUUCGAAAGCAUGCUCUCGUACAAUGCUGAUAUGUUGAAGCCUCCAUGUGAUCAAGCCUUAGCCACAUUUUUAUGGAAGCCGAGCACCAGGGAGGCCCUUCUAGGAAGGAGCUUCAUUCCCAUCGGAAAGGUUGGCUAUGGCACCAGCCUCACACUGGUUGGAAAGGGCUCAUUGAGGAAUCUUUCCAGAGUGUUUCAUGACUUAACGUUUCAUGGCUGGCUCUGCACAACCUG
rnacentral:lncRNA from 1 species